AAGUAAGAAGUGAAAUGUACACUAUCAGUUUCGACCUGACGUUUGGGGUAACCCCUUACUUA
rnacentral:tRNA from 1 species